rnacentral:tRNA from 1 species
UUAAAAGAAUCUAAAAUAUAAGUAUAUCACUGUUAAUGAUAAUUAGAGAAAAGUUUCUCCUUUUAAA